GAUGAACGCUGGCGGCGUGCCUAAUACAUGCAAGUCGAACGAUGAACCCGGAGCUUGCUCCGGUGGAUUAGUGGCGAACGGGUGAGUAACACGUGAGUAACCUGCCCUUGACUCUGGGAUAACUGCGGGAAACUGUAGCUAAUACCGGAUACGACCCUCGGCGGCAUCGCCAGGGGGUGGAAAGAAUUUCGGUCAAGGAUGGACUCGCGGCCUAUCAGCUAGUUGGUGAGGUAACGGCUCACCAAGGCGACGACGGGUAGCCGGCCUGAGAGGGUGACCGGCCACACUGGGACUGAGACACGGCCCAGACUCCUACGGGAGGCAGCAGUGGGGAAUAUUGCACAAUGGGCGCAAGCCUGAUGCAGCAACGCCGCGUGAGGGAUGACGGCCUUCGGGUUGUAAACCUCUUUUAGUAGGGAAGAAGCGAAAGUGACGGUACCUGCAGAAAAAGCACCGGCUAACUACGUGCCAGCCGCCGCGGUAA
rnacentral:rRNA from 1 species